UUGGUGUGGUUGUUGCUGGCCCUCUUGGGGGCAUGUGCAGCCCGCCAUCCUCAUCUCUCCACCUGUGCACCUCUUGUAGACCUGGAUAGACUUUUCGAGGCAACUCGGUUGGGAAGAUUGCUGCGCUCUCUGAGCCAGCUUUCUUUGCAUGUCCAGGCCUAUGUUUUUCAUAUACCCUAUAGAAUGUAACAGAAUGUAUCAUUGGGCCUUGUGCCUAUAAACCUUAUACAACUUUCAGCAACGGAUCUCUUGGCUCUCGCAUCGAUGAAGAACGCAGCGAAAUGCGAUAAGUAAUGUGAAUUGCAGAAUUCAGUGAAUCAUCGAAUCUUUGAACGCACCUUGCGCUCCUUGGUAUUCCGAGGAGCAUGCCUGUUUGAGUGUCAUUAAAUUCUCAACCUUAUUAGCUUUUGUUGAUAAUGGAUUGGAUUUGGGGGUUUCUUUUGCUGGCUUCUUCACAGAGAUCAGCUCCCCUUAAAUGCAUUAGCUGGUGCCCCGCGUGGACCAUCUAUUGGUGUGAUAAUUAUCUACGCCGUGGAUGUCUGCAAUCAUAUGGGGUUUGCACUGCUUCUAACCGUCUGUUCAUUCGGACAAUACAUGACAAUUUGACCUCAAA
rnacentral:rRNA from 1 species